ACAAGAGCGUGCGUGGCCCCCGGCUCUUCCGUCCCCGCCGGCCCGGACAGCGGGCAGGGGCGGCGGGGCUGCGGAAGGUCGGGCGCCUGCGCAGGCGCGUCGGGUGCCCAGCAGAAGUCCCAGGGUCCCAGGACCCGGCUGGACGAGGCUCUGCAGAAUUGACUUGUCAAUGCGUUUUGGAUGGAUGUGAACAGAAGCAAGGACAAGGAAUGCCUAGGCUUGCCACUUGACGGAGGAGUCAAGGGUGAGCGAACAAAGGUCAGAGAUUUUUCAGAGCUCCCUGGAAUGAAGCCACCCCACCGCUUUGAAUGAUAACUCCUGCUCAGUCUGCCUGUCCCAGAGUCGAAAAGUCCUCCAAGAAAGGCGAAUGGACACCAAGGAGCAAAAACAACCCACAUCCCUGACGCUCCGGGCACAAACGAUAGAUGUUGGAACUUGAUCACUAAAAGAAUGGCUGUCCAGGAAGUAGAAAGAGUGCAGGCUUCAGAGUCAGACUGUAUUAUUGGGGAUCAGAUCCAGUGGCAAACAGAAUCACCUCCACGACUUUCAGGGCCCAGUGCACGAUGAAAACACAGAGCCCUUUGUUCAAAUAUUAAUCAGAAUUUCAAGAUGGCGACAGCAGAUGGUAAACCAGGUACAGGGCCCUUCCAGGUGGGGAACCCUGGGCCACCACGCAAGAAGCACACCCAUGAAGUUGAUUCUGACUGCAGAUAACAGUAAACAAAUACCAGAGAUGCAA